GACGAACGCUGGCGGCGUGCUUAACACAUGCAAGUCGAACGGUAAGGCCCUUCGGGGUACACGAGUGGCGAACGGGUGAGUAACACGUGGGUGAUCUGCCCUGCACUUCGGGAUAAGCCUGGGAAACUGGGUCUAAUACCGGAUAGGACCACUGCCUGCAUGGGUGGUGGUGGAAAGCUUUUGAGGUGUGGGAUGGGCCCGCGGCCUAUCAGCUUGUUGGUGGGGAGAUUGCCUACCAGGGCGACGACGGGUAGCCGGCCUGAGAGGGUGACCGGGCACACGGGGACUGGGAGACGGGCCAGACUCCUACGGGAGGCAACAGGGGGGAAUAUUGCGCAAUGGGCGCAAGCCUGAUGCAGGGACGCCGCGUGAGGGAUGACGGCCUUCGGGUUGUAAACCUCGUUCAGCACCGACGAAGCGCAAGUGACGGUAGGUGCAGAAGAAGGACCGGCCAACUACGUGCCAGCCGCCGCGGUAA
rnacentral:rRNA from 1 species